AUUGAAUAACUGGAGCAAAUCCAAGCUCCCUAAUAAAGUGUUAUCACCCGCAAAUUAAGAGGCGCAGGACCAUAUGCAAAUAUAUGUAGUUCUAUUAGUAGAGUAAAUCUCUUUAUUUGUUAACGAUACAUAAAGUUCUUACAUAACAAUAUCAUACAUAUACCCACACACAUGCACAUAUAAUAUAUUGUUUUUCAAAUCCAAACCAAAAUGGAAAGGAAGACAAAUGGAGCAAUUUUAUUUAAGUAGUAGAUGCAUGAUCAUGCAUGGAUGGUUUUUGUUGGACAUAUUAAGUGGAAACUUCUGAGGGCAUCUUCAAGGAUAGGUUUUCGAAUUCAGAGUUAAGGGCAUUCCUGAAUGCAGUUUGUGCAUGAGAUCCAGAGAGAAAACACCAGCCAUAUUUAAUAUCUGUGUUUGGAUUACGAGCGCAAAAGCUUCCACUUCCUUUCUUCUUGCAGUCGGCAUGAGACUGGCAUAAGUUAGGAUCUUCCUCCAUCUUCUUCAUCAUAUCAUGUUCAGAUAUGUAAUCUCUGCAAAAUCCAUUCAGAAAUGUUUCGGGGUGGCAGUAACAACCCGGUUCACGUUCUGACCCACUGUAACAUACUUUAUCCGGUUGCCAUGCCCAACAAAGAUGACUUUCACAAGCUUCUACCUUCUUCAUAGGAAACACAGCAACUAAUGUGGCAAGCAAGAAAAGGACCAAAAGAGGGAGUUUAGCAUAAGCCAUAUUGCUUGAAUGAAUAGAAAGAAGCAGCUACGAACAGUUUUAUAAAGCUAGCUUGGUGUUUUG
rnacentral:lncRNA from 1 species